UACGUAGGGGGCAAGCGUUGUCCGGAAUCAUUGGGCGUAACGAGCGUGUAGGCGGCUCGAUGAGUCUGUUCUGAAAGUCCAGGGCUCAACCCUGGGAUGCGGAUGGAUACUGUCGAGCUCGAGUCCGGAAGAGGCGAGUGGAAUUCCUGGUAUAGCGGUGAAAUGCGCAGAUAUCAGGAGGAACACCAAUGGCGAAGGCAGCUCGCUGGGACGUGACUGACGCUGAGACGCGAAAGCGUGGGGAGCAAACAGG
rnacentral:rRNA from 1 species